CAGCCCCGUACACAAAAAUGCACAUACUGUGAGCUCGAUGAGUAGGGCGGGACACGUGGUAUCCUGUCUGAAUAUGGGGGGACCAUCCUCCAAGGCUAAAUACUCCUGACUGACCGAUAGUGAACCAGUACCGUGAGGGAAAGGCGAAAAGAACCCCGGCGAGGGGAGUGAAAAAGAACCUGAAACCGUGUACGUACAAGCAGUGGGAGCCUCUUUUAUGGGGUGACUGCGUACCUUUUGUAUAAUGGGUCAGCGACUUAUAUUCUGUAGCAAGGUUAACCGAAUAGGGGAGCCGAAGGGAAACCGAGUCUUAACUGGGCGUUAAGUUGCAGGGUAUAGACCCGAAACCCGGUGAUCUAGCCAUGGGCAGGUUGAAGGUUGGGUAACACUAACUGGAGGACCGAACCGACUAAUGUUGAAAAAUUAGCGGAUGACUUGUGGCUGGGGGUGAAAGGCCAAUCAAACCGGGAGAUAGCUGGUUCUCCCCGAAAGCUAUUUAGGUAGCGCCUCGUGAAUUCAUCUCCGGGGGUAGAGCACUGUUUCGGCAAGGGGGUCAUCCCGACUUACCAACCCGAUGCAAACUGCGAAUACCGGAGAAUGUUAUCACGGGAGACACACGGCGGGUGCUAACGUCCGUCGUGAAGAGGGAAACAACCCAGACCGCCAGCUAAGGUCCCAAAGUCAUGGUUAAGUGGGAAACGAUGUGGGAAGGCCCAGACAGCCAGGAUGUUGGCUUAGAAGCAGCCAUCAUUUAAAGAAAGCGUAAUAGCUCACUGGUCGAGUCGGCCUGCGCGGAAGAUGUAACGGGGCUAAACCAUG
rnacentral:rRNA from 1 species